AGACAAAACAGAACAAUUGCUACAAGCGCCCAGAGACUGCUGUUGCAUACAACAACUAUGUCCCUAGGCUUCUCUAGGUAUCUAGAAAGCAAAGGGAAGAAUCUGAGGUUUCACUGGAGAGAGAAACCCUGAUGAGGCUUUCCUUGGGGCUGGACCACAGACCCUGCCAGCCAUGCUAACUGCACUUGUGAGUGUGCCUUCAGAAACAGCACUGCUCCACCACAGGAGCUUGUGGUAGACCAUGGAGCAGGAAGUGAGAACUUCAUCAACACUUUUACCACUGAAGCCACUCAGUGCUGCAGCUACAUCCUUGAAGUGUGGGCUGUGGCAGUUCUUGUUUACACCAUGGACAAGCAUUUAAAUGUGUAAAUCCCCUCAAUGGAGGGAAGUCAGGAACCUCUGCAGGGUUUUGAUUCCUCCCACACGUCUGUGGGUCUGACCAGCAGCUCAUCUAAGGUAUUAGUAUCACUGUCACAAGCAGUUG